ACGGGGUGCAGCAGGCGCGAAAACUUUGCAAUGUGCGAAAGCACGACAAGGUUAAUCCGAGUGAUUUCUGCUAAAGGAAUCUUUUGUUAGUUCUAAAAAUACUAGUGAAUAAGGGGUGGGCAAGUUCUGGUGUCAGCCGCCGCGGUAAAACCAGCACCUCAAGUGGUCAGGAGGAUUAUUGGGCCUAAAGCAUCCGUAGCCUGUUCUAUAGGUUUGCGGUUAAAUCUAUACGCUCAACGUAUAGGCUGCCGUAAAUACUGUAGAACUAGGGAGUGGGAGAGGUAGACGGUACUCGAUAGGAAGGGGUAAAAUCCUUUGAUCUAUUGAUGACCACCUGUGGCGAAGGCGGUCUACCAGAACACGUUCGACGGUGAGGGAUGAAAGCUGGGGGAGCAAACCGGAUUAGAUACCCGGGUAGUCCCAGCUGUAAACGAUGCAGACUCGAUGAUGCAAUGGCAUAGAGCUAUUGCAGUAUCGCAGGGAAGCCGUUAAGUCUGCCGCCUGGGAAGUACGUACGCAAGUAUGAAACUUAAAGGAAUUGGCGGGGGAGCACCACAAGGGGUGAAGCCUGCGGUUCAAUUGGAGUCAACGCCGG
rnacentral:rRNA from 1 species